rnacentral:rRNA from 1 species
UACGUAGGGUGCGAGCGUUAAUCGGAAUUACUGGGCGUAAAGCGCACGUAGGCGGACAUUUAAGUCAGGGGUGAAAUCCCAGAGCUCAACUCUGGAACUGCCUUUGAUACUGGGUGUCUUGAGUAUGGAAGAGGUAAGUGGAAUUCCGAGUGUAGAGGUGAAAUUCGUAGAUAUUCGGAGGAACACCAGUGGCGAAGGCGGCUUACUGGUCCAUUACUGACGCUGAGACGCGAAAGCGUGGGGAGCGAACCGG